CCUACGGGCGGCAGCAGUGGGGAAUAUUGCACAAUGGGGGAAACCCUGAUGCAGCGACGCCGCGUGAAGGAAGAAGUAUUUCGGUAUGUAAACUUCUAUUAGCAGGGAAGAAAAUGACGGUACCUGACUAUGAAGCCCCGGCUAACUACGUGCCAGCAGCCGCGGUAAUACGUAGGGGGCACGCGUUAUCCGGAUUUACUGGGUGUAAAGGGAGCGUAGGCGGUUUAGCAAGUCAGAAGUGAAAGCUCGGGGCUCAACUCCGGGACUGCUUUUGAAACUGGUGAACUAGAGUGCAGGAGAGGUAAGUGGAAUGCCUAGUGUAGCGGUGAAAUGCGUAGAUAUUAGGAGGAACACCAGUGGCGAAGGCAGCUUACUGGACUGUAAAUGACGCUGAGGCUCGAAAGCGUGGGGAGCAAACAGGAUUAGAUACCCCAGUAGUC
rnacentral:rRNA from 1 species